CACGGGAUGCUUGUACGGCGAGUGAAGCGGCAAAAGCUCAAAUUUGAAAUCUGGUACCUUCGGUGCCCGAGUUGUAAUUUGGAGAGGGCAACUUUGGGGCCGUUCCUUGUCUAUGUUCCUUGGAACAGGACGUCAUAGAGGGUGAGAAUCCCGUGUGGCGAGGAGUGCGGUUCUUUGUAAAGUGCCUUCGAAGAGUCGAGUUGUUUGGGAAUGCAGCUCUAAGUGGGUGGUAAAUUCCAUCUAAAGCUAAAUAUUGGCGAGAGACCGAUAGCGAACAAGUACAGUGAUGGAAAGAUGAAAAGAACUUUGAAAAGAGAGUGAAAAAGUACGUGAAAUUGUUGAAAGGGAAGGGCAUUUGAUCAGACAUGGUGUUUUGUGCCCUCUGCUCCUUGUGGGUAGGGGAAUCUCGCAUUUCACUGGGCCAGCAUCAGUUUUGGUGGCAGGAUAAAUCCAUAGGAAUGUAGCUUGCCUCGGUAAGUAUUAUAGCCUGUGGGAAUACUGCCAGCUGGGACUGAGGACUGCGACGUAAGUCAAGGAUGCUGGCAUAAUGGUUAUAUGCCGCCCGCUGAAAAACCGGGACC
rnacentral:rRNA from 1 species